GGUGCGUGUGAUCAGUAUUCAGGUGAAGGUGUUCGCUGUGAUUGGGAGGUGGCUGAGCCUGGCCGAUCCGUGACAUAGAUAUUACAGCGC